rnacentral:rRNA from 1 species
AGCAUAAUCAUUUGCUUCUUAAUUGGCAGCUAGGAUGAAAGAGUUGACGAAAAAUAAUCUAUUUUAUAAAUUAUUUAAAUUAACAUUAAGGUUAAAAGGCUUUAGUGGAUUAGAGGGACGAUAAGACCCUAUGAAAUUUUACAAAUGCUAAUUUUCACUGUAAAGAAUAGUAAUUUUAGCAUUAGUUGAGCUGGGGCGGUAAAAAUAAUAACUAUUUUAUAUUAAAUACUUAAAGUAAAUUUUAAGAACAUUUAUACAUAAAUUUGAAUAAAUUACUCUAGGGAUAACAGCACAAUUUUCUCAGAUAGAUCUUAUUGGCGAGAGAGUUUGUGACCUCGAUGUUGAAUUGGGAUUACUUGUUUAAGCAUAAAUAAAUAAUGUCAGUCUGUUCGACCGUUAAUUUCCC